rnacentral:rRNA from 1 species
UACGUAGGAUGCGAGCGUUGUCCGGAAUUAUUGGGACGUAAAGAGAACGUAGGUGGUUUCUUAAGUUCGAUCUUAAAAGACCGGGGCCUCAACCCCGGGAAUGGAUUGAAAACUGGGAGACUAGAGGAUGUUAGAGGACGGUGGAAUUCCCAGUGUAGCGGUGAAAUGCGUAGAUAUCAGGAGGAACACCAAUGGCGAAGGCAGCUCGCUGGGACGGUACUGACGCUGAGACGACGAAAGCGUGGGGAGCAAACAGG